rnacentral:lncRNA from 1 species
GGUUUUGAAGGGCUUCAUUUGUCCAAUUUUAAAGUUCCCCCAAAUUGGGGGGUUUUGAAGGUUAAACAUAUAAAUUGACAAUUUUGCCCUCUUAAUAAUUCAAAAUUCCAAUUUUAGACAUUACUAAAAUUAUUACAAUCUUUUUUAAAAACAACUUAUUCAAAACAACUUAUUUAUACAAAACAGCUUAUUACGACCUCAUUUUCAAUUAUUACGACCUCAUUUUUAAAAACGGCUUAUUCAAAACAACCUAUUUAUACAAAACAGCUUAUUACGACCUCAUUUUCAAAAACGGCUUAUUCAAAACAGCUUAUUUAUGCAAAACAAUUUAUUACGACCUCAUUUUCAAAAACAGCUUAAUACGAUCUCUUUUCCAAAAACAACUUAUUUAAAACAGCUUAUUUAUGCAAAACAGCUUAAUACGAUCUCUUUUUCAAAAACAGCUUAUUCAAAGCAGCUUAUUUAUACAAAACAGUUUAUUACGACCUCAUUUUCAAAAAUCGCUUAUUCAAAACAACUUAUUUAUACAAAACAGCUUAUUCAAAACAACUUAUUUAUGCAAAACAGCUUAAUAUGACUUCAUUUUCAAAAAUCGCUUAUUCAAAACAACUUAUUUAUGCAAAACAGCUUAAUAGGACUUCAUUUUCAAAAACCGCUUAUUCAAAACAAUUUAUUUAUACAAAACAGCUUAUUGCGACCUCAUUUUCAAAAACAGCUUAUUCAAAACAGCUUAUUUAUGUAAAACAGCUUAAUAUGACUUCAUUUUCAAAAACCGCUUAUUCAGAACAACUUAUUUAUGCAAAACAGUUUAUUACGAC